GACGAACGCUGGCGGCGUGCCUAAUACAUGCAAGUAGAACGCACAGUUUAUACCGUAGCUUGCUACACCAUAGACUGUGAGUUGCGAACGGGUGAGUAACGCGUAGGUAACCUGCCUGGUAGCGGGGGAUAACUAUUGGAAACGAUAGCUAAUACCGCAUAAUAUUGAUUAUUGCAUGAUAAUUGAUUGAAAGAUGCUAUUGCAUCACUACCAGAUGGACCUGCGUUGUAUUAGCUAGUGGUGAGGUAACGGCUCACCUAGGCGACGAUACAUAGCCGACCUGAGAGGGUGAGCGGCCACACUGGGACUGAGACACGGCCCAGACUCCUACGGGAGGCAGCAGUAGGGAAUCUUCGGCAAUGGACGAAAGUCUGACCGAGCAACGCCGCGUGAGUGAAGAAGGUUUUCGGAUCGUAAAGCUCUGUUGUAAGAGAAGAACGGGUGUGAGAGUGGAAAGUUCACACUGUGACGGUAUCUUACCAGAAAGGGACGGCUAACUACGUG
rnacentral:rRNA from 1 species